AGUAUCCAUUUUCACUAAGAGAACCAAAUACUGAUGGUACCAUAUCUGCUAAAUAACUCUGAAAAUAGCAAGAAGGUUGCAAACACUACCAAACAGUGAAAUAAAGAUAUGAAACAUUAUCCCACUCAAAAAUAGAUUAUAGUCCAGAUGAAGAAUCGAAUUCACUGGUCCAUAAUAAAUACAGGCCGAAAUCCGUCGACGAAAGCUAGAUUCAAUGGUCGUGAAUUGUACAGUAUGUGUUAAAUAGUCUCUUAUCUGUUAGUUAUUGAAGUAAAACGUUUAUCAGCCAAGCUAGAAUGGUUCUGUCUUCGGUAUUCGUAUGAAUAAGUGUCAAUUAUUAAGUGCAGAAAAUUAAGUCCAAUUUUCAGCGUAUUUAAGGCGCUGCCGCGUUUAGAGCAUAUUGCUUUGAUUUUUUAGGUUUCCUUUGUUGUAAGCAAAGCUAGAAUAGCUUCAGCAUAGUAUUCGUAACGAUUUCUACUAAUUUGCAGAAGAAUUAGGUCCAAAUUUUCAGCGUUUCUAGCGAGUUUCCGUGCGGUUUGCAACGCCGGUGUUUUCAACUUUGUAGUCGCCGCCGCCGUUCAACUUUUAGAUCAUAUUGUUUAGUUUUUAAAGCUUUCAUAUAUUGUAAGCAAAGAUAAAGUAGUUCUGUCUGAGGAUUCGUAUAAAUUUGCAGAAGAAUUACGUCCAAAUUUUCAGCGUUUCUAGCGAGUUUCCAUGCAUGCAUGUGCGUGUUUGCAACGCCGGUGUCUUUUUUAACUGUUGUAGUUGCCGCCGUUUAACUUUUAGUUUUAGAGCAUAUUGUUUAGUUUUUCAAGCUUUCUUAAAGUGUAAGCAAAGAUAAAGUAGUUCUGCCUGAGUAUUCGUACCAAUUUGCAGAAGAAUUAGGUCCAAAUUUUCAGCGUUUCUAGCGAAUUUAUACUUGUGCAUGUUUUUGCGACGCCGGUGCUGGUGUUCUUUUUUAAUUAAACUGUUGUAGACUUGUAGUCGCCACCGUUUAACUUUUAGAGCAUAUUGUUUAGUUUUUCCAGCUUUCUUAUAUUGUAAGCAAAGAUAAAGUUGUUCUGUCUGAGUAUUCGUAUAAAUUCGUAGAAGAAUUAGGUCGACAUUUUCAGCGUUUUUAGCGAGUUUCCAUGUGUGUUUGCAACGCCGGUGUUUUUCAACUUUGUGGUCGCCGCCGUUCAACUUUUAGGACAUUUUGUUUAGUUUUUAAAGCUUUCUUAUAUUGUAAGCAAAGAUAAAUUAGUUCUGUCUGAGUAUUCGUAUAAAUUUGCAGAAGAAUUAUAGGUCCAAAUUUUCAGCGUUUCUAGCGAGUUUCCGUGCGUGUUUGCAACGCUGGUGUUUUUCAACUUUGUAGUCGCUGCCGUUCAACUUUUAGAUCAUAUUGUUUAGUUUUUAAAGCUUUCAUAUAUUGUAAGCAAAGAUAAAGUAGUUCUGUCUGAGAAUUCGUAUAAAUUUGCAGAAAAAUUACGUCCAAAUUUUCAGUGU